UGGAUUGAAAAACAAUUAAAAAGCGGAAGGACCAAAGGCGCAAAUAGACCAUUUCUAAAAAAAAGCGGAUCCUGAGGUGGGCUGGUUGAUUAACGGCAUCAUUUUGGGGCUUAUGUGUAGCACCCCAAACCCGGCCCAGACGUUAUGGCCGGAUCCGGCAUGCCACAUCAAAAACGUUAAAAAAAUUUUCUAUUCUAAGUCCAGAAAAUCGUAUUUGAUGUUCAAAAGAUUAAUUCAUUAAGGGUUAAGGUGAAUGGAAGUUGUGC
rnacentral:lncRNA from 1 species